AGUGAACGCUGGCGGUAGGCCUAACACAUGCAAGUCGAACGGCAGCACAGGAGAGCUUGCUCUCUGGGUGGCGAGUGGCGGACGGGUGAGGAAUACAUCGGAAUCUACUCUGUCGUGGGGGAUAACGUAGGGAAACUUACGCUAAUACCGCAUACGACCUACGGGUGAAAGCAGGGGACCUUCGGGCCUUGCGCGAUUGAAUGAGCCGAUGUCGGAUGAGGUAGUUGCCGGGGUAAAGGCCCACCAAGGCGACGAUCCGUAGCUGGUCUGAGAGGAUGAUCAGCCACACUGGAACUGAGACACGGUCCAGACUCCUACGGGAGGCAGCAGUGGGGAAUAUUGGACAAUGGGCGCAAGCCUGAUCCAGCCAUACCGCGUGGGUGAAGAAGGCCUUCGGGUUGUAAAGCCCUUUUGUUGGGAAAGAAAUCCAGCUGGCUAAUACCCGGUUGGGAUGACGGUACCCAAAGAAUAAGCACCGGCUAACUUCGUGCCAGCCGCCGCCGUAA
rnacentral:rRNA from 1 species